UACGGGGGGGGCAAGCGUUGUUCGGAAUUACUGGGCGUAAAGGGCUCGUAGGUGGCCAACUAAGUCAGACGUGAAAUCCCUCGGCUUAACCGGGGAACUGCGUCUGAUACUGGAUGGCUUGAGUUUGGGAGAGGGACGCGGAAUUCCAGGUGUAGCGGUGAAAUGCGUAGAUAUCUGGAGGAACACCGGUGGCGAAGGCGGCGUUCUGGACUGUCUCUGACACUGAAGAACGAAAGCCAGGGGAGCAAACGGG
rnacentral:rRNA from 1 species